GCCAAUCCAGUCUCAAGGAACGCAUUUCCCUCCUCACCUUUGCUUCGGCGUUCGGUCUCCAACCUGGCUCUACGUCCGACAGAGACACUUCCUUGCUCGAAUAAAGAUUCAAUUCAGGAUGUAAUGCCUGUGGUGUUUUGAGUGACUAGCCUAGUGGAUCCUGUCUGAGCAGCUAUCCAAGAAAGCAAGCAACAAAGAUGUCCAGUCUGCCCUGCAAGGAGAGGGAGUUGAUGUAGCCUCCACUGUGCCACUUCUCUUGGCCCACUUCAAGGAGGACAAGGAAGGACUUCUCCUUCAAGCUGAUGCAGGUGCAUCAGCUGCUGAUGUUGAAGAGGCACUUACCCUGCCUGCCAGUCCUCGGUUGAUACUGGUUGGUGAUACUCCACAUUGGAUGCUGAGCAUUGAGGGCCAGGUGGUGUGUGAGGGGACCACCUUUGUGUCUGGCCUUGCAGUACUUUUUGCGUCAUAUUACAACUUUAACCUGCAGUACCAGGAUGAGGCGGCUUGUACGCUGGAGUUCAUUCAAAGACGGUUCAUCGAUAUAAAUCCUGAGAAGGGAACAAGAGCCCAACAAGGAAAAGUGGUGUCAAAGAAGACUGGAAGAGAAGUGCAAAAGAAGCCACACAAUGUCAAUCCACACGUUGCCACACUUCUGCGCAAGCUUAUGGAUUACAAGUGGGACUUUGGAAAUUAGUCAACACGUACCCCCUCUCUCACACUGUGACACACACACACACACACA